rnacentral:rRNA from 3 species
AAAGGUAGCGUAAUCACUAGUUUUUUAAUUUAAAGCUUGUAUGAAUGGUUGGACGAGAUAAAUACUGUCUUUAUUUAAUUUAAUUUAGAAUUUAACUUUUAAGUGAAAAGGCUUAAAUUUUAUUAAUAGACGAGAAGACCCUAUAGAUCUUUAUAGAUUAUUUAUUAGUUAUAUUAGGAUUAUUUAUUAGCUAAUAAUGAAAUUUAUUUUAUUGGGGUAAUAUGAAGAUUAAAAAAAUUCUUUGAUUUUUAAACAAGGAUAAUUGGUUAAUUGAUCCAUUAUUAUUGAUUAUAAGAUUAAGUUACCUUAGGGAUAACAGCGUAAUUUUUUUGGAGAGUUCAUAUCGAUAAAAAAGU